rnacentral:misc_RNA from 1 species
UAACAGCCAUGGCAGCACUUCGCAGCAAGCUCCGAUUUAUCACCUCUCAGCAUCACCACCACCUCCGCCGUUACUCCGCCGCCUCUAUCCUUAAUCCCGAUUCUAAAUCUCCACUCUCAGGCAAAGACAAGUCACGCGCCGCCCUAACUCUCCUCAAAUCCGAAACCGACCCACAGCGGAUCCUCGACAUCUGCCGUGCAGCUGCCUUAACCCCUGAAUCCCAUCUCGAUCGCAUUGCAUAUUCCAAAGCCAUUUCCAAGCUCAAAGAUCUCAAUCAUUUCUCCGGUAUCCGUUCAUUUCUCCAGGAAUCAACGACCCGGCCUGAUUUGAAAUCCGAGCGGUUCAUUUCCCAUUUCAUUGUUCUUUACGGUCAGGCCGGACUGCUUGAUGAGGCUAAGAGGACUUUUGA